rnacentral:rRNA from 1 species
UACUGGACAAUGGACCAAAAGUCUGAUCCAGCAAUUCUGUGUGCACGAAGAAGUUUUUCGGAAUGUAAAGUGCUUUCAGUUGGGAAGAAGUCAGUGACGGUACCAACAGAAGAAGCGACGGCUAAAUACGUGCCAGCAGCCGCGGUAAUACGUAUGUCGCAAGCGUUAUCCGGAUUUAUUGGGCGUAAAGCGCGUCUAGGCGGCUUAGUAAGUCUGAUGUGAAAAUGCGGGGCUCAACCCCGUAUUGCGUUGGAAACUGCUAAACUAGAGUACUGGAGAGGUAGGCGGAACUACAAGUGUAGAGGUGAAAUUCGUAGAUAUUUGUAGGAAUGCCGAUGGGGAAGCCAGCCUACUGGACAGAUACCGACGCUAAAGCGCGAAAGCGUGGGUAGCAAACAGG